rnacentral:ncRNA from 1 species
UAGAAGUUGUUUUAAAUAAAAGAUUUUUAUAUAAUAAAUUUAAUUAUAGUUUAAUAAUUAAUUAUAAAAUUUAUGUAUAUAUAAUUUUUAGAUUGAUUAAAAAAUUAAAUAUUAAAAAAAUUUAGUAUAUAAAAUUAAUAAUUUUAAGAAACUUUAAUUAUUAGAAAUUUUUAAAAAUUUAGAUAAAAGUUGUGCCAGCAAUCGUGGUUAUACAGCUUAGGUAAAUUAAUUUGUUUAAAUUAAAAUAAAAAUGUUAAAUUUAAUUAUAAAUAAAGUUAAAAUUGUUAGGUGAAAUUAAAAAAUUUUAGUUAUUUUUAUAGAUUAGUAUAUAAUUGGUUUUUAAAAAUUUUUAUAAAACUAGGAUUAGAUACCCUAUUAUAGAAUUAAAAAUUGAGGUUUGAGAAUUAAAUGAUUAAUCAUUAAAUUUAAAUAAUUUGGCGGUAUUUUAAUUUUAUUAGAGGAAUUUGUUAUGUAAAUGAUAAUCCUCGAUAAGAUAAACUUAAAAAAAAAUUUUUAUAUUGUUGUUUAAAAAAUAUUUUUGGAAAAAUUAUUUAUAAUAUUAAAAUAAAUAUUAAUUCAGAUCAAAAUGAAGUGAAUAUUUAAGAAUUAAUGAAUUACAAUAAAUUUGAUUUAAUUAAUGAAUAUAAAAUUUUAAGGUUUUAUUGAAGGUGGAUUUAAAAGUAAAUUAAAAUAAUUAUUUUAUUUGAUUAAAAUUUUAAAAUAUGUACAAAUUGCCCGUCGUUCUCUUUGAAAAAUAAAAAGAGGUAAGUCGUAACAUAGUAAAAGUACUGGAAAGUGUUUUUAGAAAA